GAAAAAAGAAAAACCCUGACGUUUCAGCAAUUCAUUCUUUUCUCUCGGCAAUCCCUUCUCUGGACUUGCCCCCGCUUUCCUGACACAGCAUGAGUGUGCCAGCCUGUGACAUCACUACUCAUCUCCACAAGACAUGUAAACAUUCCAAACGGAGAUGGAAAAUGGCUUUCAAAGGGGAUGUGCAACUCCCACGGCAGUUUACCUCCACCUCCUUUGGAAUGGCGAUGGGAGUUCAUCUGCCUGACCGGGCAUAAUAAGAAUAAGAAAAAAAACCAGCAGAAUCGUCUGCAUAGCUUUCUUUCAUUUUUUUUUUUUCAUUUGUACAGACAGUGGACAGUUUCUAGACGGUUUAUCCCGCAUUCCCAGAUCUAUCAAUUUUAGACAGGAAAGACUUGGCCAGUGAUUUGUAUAAUAGGAACUGAGAUCUCAGCGCUGGGCUGCUCUCCUUCUAUUGGCCACAGGUCUAGCUUGGCCAUUAGCCAGCCAGCUCCCUGACACUCCAUAGCAUGGGAACAUCCUGCCACAUACGCAAACCACUCACAUUAUUGUAAUAGAUACAUGAAACAGUACAGAAAACAUUUCUUUUCGGAAUAUUUACUUCCAUAUGGUUCUCGUUUUACUCCCAAUAAAGAGGCAGGUUGUUAGCUGGUAUUGCAGCAGGAUGUAUAUUUGUGGGUGCGUAUUUGACUUGCACUCUAGCGGAGUGGCCUACAAAAAAAGAGAUUAAUGAAUAUCUGCCCUUGGUUUCUUCUGCAGUUGACUUUAAAUCAUCCACAAAGAUAUAAACACGCACAUCUGCACACACUGCCACUUUAUAUCGCGCUUAAACACAAGCCCGGCGUCCCUCUUUCUUCCAAGCGUUGAUUUAUAGGCCUUCAGUCAGCGUGAAAGGCAGUCCACAGAUGGAAAAGUCUAUUUUAUGUGGGGAAGUAGGUUCACAUGUUGUCAGUGUGCUUUUCUGCUUCGUGUGUGUUUGCUUGCUUGCAGAAUGCCCACAAGAAGAACAAGAAAGCGGAGCCCUCUUCAAAGCAGCAACAAGAUGCCAAGUAAAUGCUUUGUUUGGCUGCCUUUUUUUAUUUGACUCAUUAAUCAUAGUUCUUGUCCAACUAAUCCUUCCUUCUUUCGCCUGAUUGCAGGAUGUGUGUGCGAGUGUGUGUGUGUAUCCAGGAGGGUGGUGCAACUGCAGUAAUCAUCAGCAGGCAAAGAUAUGACCAGCUCUAAAGUGCUCAGCCAACUAAUUUUUCAUAAAAAGGGUUGGCUGCUGCUGUUUUGAUCAAAGGAAAUGAGUCUCAUGCAUGCUCAAUGGAUUAACACAUUCCUAAACUCCUGAAUAUACUGGAUAGCAGAGAGGACGAGCUGACCCAUGAAAAAUGACAACAAUCCAGAGGGCAUGGUCACAAUUUUUUCCCUCAAUGAAAUCAUUGUUACAAAAAAAAACCUGAAAAAACAUGGAGAUCGAUGUCACUAUCAAGCAAUUUAUCAAGCUGGAGUUCAUUUGUCUUUAGCGGAGUAGUUGUGAUUAUUGAACUAAUUACCGCCUUAAUCUACUUUCAUUACUAGGGUGUUGACACACACACACAAGUCCACAGGAAGGCAAAUAAAACCAGCAGCAAAUGAAAAUAAAGCGUCAACAGCAAAUAAAAAAAACAUAGUUACUCCAAAAAGUGCCUGUGUGAAAUCAAGUCAGCCUUGCAGAAGCAUGAAAUUCUCCUGGAGGUAACAAUCCUUCAAAGCUUAUCAUGCCAAAAUCCACAAAGUAUGAGUAGAAACAGAUGGAAAAGUGAUAUUACAUAUGUACUCAAUGCGUACUGCAUUUUUAACCUGAAAAUCACUCUUAUGGGAUCAAUAGAAUAUCAAGCCAUCUAAUGUUUUUAUUGCCUCCAUGCACAGAAGGAGGAACAGCAGAACUCGGAAGUCGCAUAAGAUCUUAUACUGAGAUAAAUUUUGACAAAUACUUGAAAAAAGUUGCACACAAAUGCACAUACACAAUUUUAAAUUCGAUUUAUACUCGGGUCUGGGUGCAACAAAAUGUCUGUUUCAUAUUAGCUCUGCUUUAUACAACCUAGUAGGUCAUGGAAUGAAUCAUUUGCGUAAUAAUUCUAGGGAGAAUCAGAUGAUGAUAACUUGGCUGUACAAACCUGCUUAGUGCCGGUGUCCAAACCACCCCUAUCACCGUACGUAUCUCUCCAAUCUUUCAGAAACACCCACACACGCAGGCGCAGGCACACUCAAACACACACUGAGUGGAAAUUCCCUCAUCAUGGCUCCCGUUAUGAUCAUAACUGUUACGUCCAACAUUUCCAUACCAAUGUUAACAAACAUCAGAGACAGACAGGACAACGGCCAAACUUCGACAGAUAAAGCAUUUGAUUCUAUCACGCUGCCAUCUUUGAAUGCCUGAAAUUGCAGCAGUGAAGCUUAAAUGAAUCCUGGAGGAGGCAAGGCUGACUGUUAUGGUGUCGAUGAUGAGGUGUUGACGGAACUUUGCUGAAUGGGUCGCGGUGUUUCUAUGGAACUUUCUGUACCGUCAAAACAGCACAUGUGCUCUGCCUUUUACUCCCCGCAAGGGAAGAUCGGGUCCAUUUAAAUGGGCGUGCAUGUGUAUAACCAGAAUCUGAACGCCUAGGGAGUGAUGCUGGUUCUGAUCGAUGUACAGUAUGACCCAGUAUGGUUCUAGAACUUUUUUCCCCGGGAGGCCACGCUCAAUCUACGCUCGGAACUUGCACGGUUCCCUAAUCCCCGAAAUCAACAUUGGUUCCACUUCACCGAGAUGAUAAAGCACAGUACCAGUCACUCUUCUGUCUCAACAUGUCCAGACUCUCAUCCGGCUAUGUAGCAGGAAAUUACCCCAGCUUUUUUUUUUUUACAGAGCAAACCGCAAGUUUGUUUGUGUGGAUGCUUCCUUACCAACACAACUUACCGCACACACCCACACAACCUGAGUAGAUAUACGAGCAUACAAACAUGCUUGCACAGACUUGCACAGAUACCCACAGGCAGCGAUAGCUGGAAGAUAGCUGGAAGGCUGAGCCAACUAUCGUGCGUAUUUUUAGGGUCUUGUCUGUAUUGUACUCAAAAGUCUAGCAAAGAUUUGGAAGGUCUGAUGACAAACCACAAGGUCUUACGACAUGUUUCCCGUUAAUGCUGCUCCAUACAAUAACUAGGACAUUGUGUACAGUACUAUUGUGUGUCUUGGCCAAUUUUAUUUUUUUUGGACAGCAUAUCUCCCUUCCAGUAAUUUGUUGACUUGUUGAAAUUCUAAGCUUUGGUAAAUAAAUUGGGAGAGCAAUUUUUUUUCUACGUCCUGGAUAAUGGUAGGUUUAAUUUGCAGUUUAAGUGAUGGAACCUGGCUUGCGUAAGAAACGAUAAUAAACAGACUUUCAUCAAGCCUCAGAUGAUUAGAAACUAUUAUGACAACGUCAGGGCUGUUAUCGCCUCUUCAAGGUUGAAGGUUGCUUUUGAAAAGCCCUUUCAAUUCUAUGCAAUAAAGUAAAACUAACACAAA